rnacentral:rRNA from 1 species
GACGAACGCUGGCGGCGUGCUUAACACAUGCAAGUCGAACGGAAAGGCCCUGCUUUUGUGGGGUGCUCGAGUGGCGAACGGGUGAGUAACACGUGAGUAACCUGCCCUUGACUUUGGUAUAACUUCAGGAAACUGGGGCUAAUACCGGAUAGGAGCUCCUGCUGCAUGGUGGGGGUUGGAACGUUUCGGCGGUUGGGGAUGGACUCGCGGCUUAUCAGCUUGUUGGUGGGGUAGUGGCUUACCAAGGCUUUGACGGGUAGCCGGCCUGAGAGGGUGAACGGCCACAUGGGGACUGAGAUACGGCCCAGACUCCUACGGGUGGCAGCAGGGGGGAAUAUGGCACAAUGGGCGGAAGCCUGAGGCAGAAACGCCGCGUGCGGGAUGACGGCCUUCGGGUUGUAAACCGCUGUCGCCUGUGACGAAGCGUGAGUGACGGUAAUGGGUAAAGAAGCACCGGCUAACUACGUG